rnacentral:rRNA from 1 species
AGCGAACGCUGGCGGUAUGCUUAACACAUGCAAGUCGAGCGAGAAAAUGGCUUCGGCCAUGAGUACAGCGGCGGACGGGUGAGUAAUACAUGGAUAAUCUGCCUUUAGGACCGGGACAACCCAGGGAAACUUGGGCUAAUACCGGAUAAGACCACAGAAUCUCCGGAUUCAGUGGUAAAAGAUGGCUUCGGCUAUCACCUAUAGAUGAGUCCAUGUCCCAUCAGGUAGUUGGUGAGGUAACGGCCCACCAAGCCGAAGACGGGUAGCCGACCUUAGCGGGUGAUCGGCCACACGGGGACUGAGACACGGCCCCGACUCCUACGGGAGGCAGCAGUGGGGAAUAUUGGACAAUGGGCGCAAGCCUGAUCCAGCAAUACCGCGUGAGGGAUGAAGGCUUUCGAGUCGUAAACCUCUGUCAGUUGGAACGAUGGGUCUGUAGGUUAACACCCUGCAGACUUGACGGUACCUUCAAAGGAAGCCCCGGCUAACUCCGUG